GACGAACGCUGGCGGAGGGCGGAACACAUGCAAGUCGAACGCUGAAGCUCAGCUUUUGUUGGGUGGAUGAGUGGCGAACGGGUGAGUAACACGUGAGUAACCUGCCCCCUUCUUUGGGAUAACGCCCGGAAACGGGUGCUAAUACUGGAUAUUCACUGGUCUUCGCAUGGGGGUUGGUGGAAAGGGUUUUUCUGGUGGGGGAUGGGCUCGCGGCCUAUCAGCUUGUUGGUGGGGUGAUGGCCUACCAAGGCUUUGACGGGUAGCCGGCCUGAGAGGGUGACCGGUCACAUUGGGACUGAGAUACGGCCCAGACUCCUACGGGAGGCAGCAGUGGGGAAUAUUGCACAAUGGGCGCAAGCCUGAUGCAGCGACGCCGCGUGAGGGAUGGAGGCCUUCGGGUUGUGAACCUCUUUCGCUCAUGGUCAAGCCGCAACAAUGGUUGUGGUGAGGGUAGUGGGUAAAGAAGCGCCGGCUAACUACGUG
rnacentral:rRNA from 1 species